ensembl:lncRNA
GGUGGGCAUGAUUCUUGCCCUGGUGGCGGUUGCUCCCCCUGGGAACACACCUUAACAACAGUAUCAAAUUUGCAGGAUCAAGGCCAUAAGAAUAACAGCAUGAGAACAAUGCGAGAACAACUGACAACAGAGGAAAACAGCUGUCCCAGAAGAGCUGGAAAACACUCUUAUGGCAGCUUAGGAGAAAAGAACAUUGUACCUUGACAAGCACUGUGGUUUCCCAUCUCUGUCAAUGGGUUCAGCAAGUGACUCAGAGUGACACAUAAAUGAACAGUCAGCGCCACUCCCUGCAGUGUCUGGCCAUUCAGAGAACUCCCUCACCACCCAUACAUCUUUGUGGUUUGAGAAGUCUGACAAGAUUGCCAUCAAAAGUGGAAAAUUCGGGAAAGCCCAACUCUGUUUUGACAUCAGCCACUGGUUUAAAAUGCCAAAGCACAGAGAAAGCAAAACCACAAAGAUACAGGAACUGCAACACAACUGUUGUCAAGGCAGGAUAUAGGGCAGAGCAGAGACCAGGGAAAUGGCAGCCCCGUCACCGAGCCAGCGCUGCAGCAGAGCUGAUGGAGUAUCUAGGUCAGUGUGCAGCAGCAAUUCUUCGCAGAUGACUGAGAUCUACAGAGCCAAAGGCCAGCCCUGGCAGUAGAGCCAAGGGCUCCUUUUGCAACUGAAGGGUGUAAAAUCAGCUCCCCCUUUCAAGCAGCGUUCGCAGGAGGGAAGUCCAAGCCUCAGCCUCCAUGAGCUGGAACUAACGCCCUUCGGCUCCGCUUACCCGUCCCUGCUCAGCGGAACACAGGCUGGGAAAUCAGCGUUGCCAUGGGAUUCGGAUACAAAAGGCUGAAAGAUGUGGAUGUCAAUCAAGUACCCAGAUAUACAGGGAGGAUAUUUUCAGCCCUCAAACUAAAGCUGAUGUGGAAGCUCUUCUCUAAGAAACAACACUUUGCUUUCUCACGCAUGAGAGCAAUGUCAAAUGUUACCCAAAUUUUUUUAUAUUUUAAAUGUCCUCACUUAGCUUUGAAGGUUUUCAAAUUUCACACAGGUUUUAGGAAGAGCUCAUGCACUCAAACACUUGGCUACUUUUUCCAAAUAUCCUGCUUGGCCUAAUGAGAGGCAUUGCCUCUGCUGACAGCCUUAGUGCCUUCAGAAGAGAUACAGCUUUGGAAGCCAGCACACUGCCUGCUGCGUGUGCACAGAUCGUGUAUCAUGGGAUCUUUCUCCUUUCUGCUUCUAUGCCUCAACCCACUGGGACAGGGGCAUGAAAGGAUCAGUGCUUUCCCUAUAUAUCAUCCCUGAGCAUCAAUAAGACUGGCAGCUGUCUCUCAAGAUUUGUGCUAAACCGUUCUUUAGAGGUUGAUUCACAGAGCUACAGCCUUCAAAGUCAAGACACACUGUUAGAUCAUUCUGUCAGGUAGCAGAGGCCAUCAGGAUUUGUGCUGAUUUUUGUUAUGUUAAAACAUAUCCUUCAAAAAAAGACAGUCCACUCCUGCUUUGAUAGCCACAGAAGAGGGAAGAUUUCCCUGUACUGACAGAAGUUUAGAAAGUCAUUCAUGAGGUUUAUUCUCCCUUGUUGAAAACACUAGGAGAAUUUUCCUGAUAAUCUUGAUUCCUGACAGAAGAAUACAUCAAAUUUUGUGCUUAGGAGCUAAACUGGUAAACUGUGAUGCCAAACAGCUAACUAACCUGCCUUGCCACUGAAGGUUUAAUGAUAUACUAUAGAUCACGUGCCCAGUUUUCAGUAGGAAUAUUAGAAAAGGACAGUGCCAGAUGAAAUGUUCAUGUUUCUAGAAAAAGGCAGCUGCUUCUGCAUAUGCUGAGAAAGGAGGGUGGAUAUUAACACAAGGAUUUUGAGGCAGGAACAACCUAUUACUGGUAUUUUGGAUGACAGCUAUCACAUUAUAGGUGUUUACCUAAUAAUAUUCACCCUAAUUCUGGUACGCUUUGUCUGAACUAGUCAGCCUAAGGCAGAUCACUCCUUUGUUUCUGCCACAGCAGAACUUGCUAGAACAGCAUUUUUAAUUAUGAACAUUUCUGCUUAAAUUCUUCAUGUUCUGAUGCUGGAUAACUUUCUUUUUAAACUGGCAUUACAGGGCAAAGGAAAAAAAGAUCCAAAGUAGAAAACAAUUUAGUGAGUGAAUAGUAUUGCACUCUUUUUAUGUGGGCACAUAUAGAGGUAUAGCAUUUCACAAGGCUUGAUGAUUCCCACCAGUCUCAGAUCUGUCCAUGCACUUUUCUCUUAGUCCAUAGAGGUGACCCCAUAAAUCAAGUGCAGGGAUGGUUGUGCACAGUCUGAGUGAUGCAAACAGAGACAUGUUUUGAACAGCAUAUAAUACACAUUUAAUUGUAUUUAUUUAGUGGCCGUGGUUAGAAACAGAUGUGACUUUUGCACUUUUUUCAUUGUAGACAUGUUACAUGGAAAAACUGUCUGUCCAUCACUAGAUCCUGCAUAGGCAUAUACUCACGAGGGGCUAGCAGAAAAUAAGAAGGCAGGAAGAACCUCCUGUAAUCUCUGUAUGUUUUGCAUCCUGCUGAAGCUUCACAUAUCUGCUUACUAAGAAGACAAAAAUAAAGGCUAUUAUGUGUCCCA